CUCUAUGGAUCAGCUGGGCUGAGGGGAGGAGCUCCAGUAGCAAAGAAACAAAACACCCACAAGAUCAAAGGUGAGCUUGAGGAGUUCCCUGAAUCAGGACCCCAGAACUAAUUAGAAAGCCAGACUCUGGGAGUAAAAGCAAAUAUGAAGUGUCCCUGACAGAGGGGACACAGGAGAAGGGCACAGAACCGCUGAGAUUCCUCAGAGUCUUCUUGGGGUUGGGAUGUGUCCUCGCUGUCACAAAGGAGAAUGCAACGCUCGGCAGAGAUCCAAAGGGGAGUGGUGUUUUUAAAGGUGGGAGAGAGAAGAAGGCAAACCCACAGCCAAAGGCCUAAUCUGACAACAGCUGGUCAGCAGGAUUCGGUUUGUGCUGCGGGACGCUUUCGUGUGGCUCCGAGGACAUUGACAACUGGGGCCACUUUAAGAACAACAGAAGAAAUUCCGCCCUCUCAUUCUGUAAUCAGGAGUCAUUUUAAACUUCACAUGGAAUCUCUGGGUUUAACCAUUAACCUUGGUUUCAACUGAGUUCGAGCCGCUUUCCUUAGAGCCAAGCGCAUCCACAAAUGUUCAGAACUGAGAAUGUUUGGAAGGACCACGCAGAGGACGAGGACACCCUUUCCAUUCAGGAAGAGAGAGCUGGGAAGUCUGGAACAAUGGCGACAGCCUUUUCGCCAGUCUGUGGGCCUCUGCUGAAGAAGAGAGAAAUGUAAAAGUAUCCGUUGCUCUCUGUCCAAGUCUCGUCGGAUGGACAGCGUGGAGACCAUUUAAAAAUGAAAUAGAGAUUGAAAAAAAAAGGGUAAAAUAAAGUCAUGGGUCAUAGACUGUGGAUUCUGCAAAGGGCCCAGGACCUCAGGAGUAUCCACCCUGGCUCCUGGAUGGCUCCAGACCCUGACAACCAACCCCAAGAGGCCUCAAAUCAGGCUGGGCGGGGAACCCAGUCCCUCACCACUGAGCUCCGCCCUGUUCCAAUUCUCCACUCCUGAUGCACUUGGCUUGUGG